rnacentral:rRNA from 1 species
AGCUCCAAUAGCGUAUAUUAAAGUUGUUGCGGUUAAAAGCUCGUAGUUGGAUUUCUGUUGAGAGCGGGCGGUCCACCCUUUGGGUGAGUAUCUGCAUUGGUCUCGGCAUCCUCUCGGAAAACGUUUCUGCGCUUGAUUGCGUGGUACGGGGUUCGAGACUUUUACUUUGAGGAAAUUAGAGUGUUCACAGCAAGCAUACGCUUUGAAUAUAUUAGCAUGGAAUAAUAUUAUAGGAUUUCGGUUCUAUUUUGUUGGUUUCUAGAGCUGAAAUAAUGAUUAAUAGGGACAAUUGGGGCAUUCGUAUUAACGCGUCAGAGGUGAAAUUCUUGGAUUGCGUUACGACGAACUACUGCGAAAGCAUUUGCCAAGGAUGUUUUCA